rnacentral:ncRNA from 2 species
AGUUGGUGGAGCGAUUUGUCU